rnacentral:rRNA from 1 species
UACGUAGGCAGCAAGCGUUGUUCGGAGUUACUGGGCGUAAAGGGUGCGUAGGCGGUUGUUUAAGUUUGGUGUGAAAUCUCCCGGCUCAACUGGGGGGGUGCGCCGAAUACUGAAUGACUAGAGUGCGGGAGAGGAGAGUGGAAUUCCUGGUGUAGCGGUGAAAUGCGUAGAUAUCAGGAGGAACACCGGUGGUGUAGACGGCUCUCUGGACCGUAACUGACGCUGAGGCACGAAAGCGUGGGUAGCAAACAGG